UGGGGAAUUGUUCGCAAUGGGCGCAAGCCUGACGACGCAACGCCGCGUGGAGGAUGAAGACCUUCGGGUCGUAAACUCCUUUCGAUCGAGACGAACGGCUUCCGGGUGAAUACUCCGGGAGAGUGACGGUACCGAGAGAAGAAGCCCCGGCUAACUCCGUGCCAGCAGCCGCGGUAAUACGGGGGGGGCAAGCGUUGUUCGGAAUUACUGGGCGUAAAGGGCUCGUAGGCGGCCAACUAAGUCAGACGUGAAAUCCCUCGGCUUAACCGGGGAACUGCGUCUGAUACUGGAUGGCUUGAGUGUGGGAGAGGGAUGCGGAAUUCCAGGUGUAGCGGUGAAAUGCGUAGAUAUCUGGAGGAACACCGGUGGCGAAGGCGGCAUCCUGGACCACGACUGACGCUGAGGAGCGAAAGCCAGGGGAGCAAACGGGAUUAGAUACCCCCGUAGUCC
rnacentral:rRNA from 1 species